GAGUAGAGUGAUAAUUUAAACCGUUUCUCUUGGUCCCUUUUGCACCUUAAUCGAUUGCUCAAGCUUCGUUAAUGGCGGGUUCCAAAAGAAGCUACAGUGAGUCUGUAGAAAAUCCUCUUCCUUCUUCGAAAUCAGGUAAACAAAGUGCCUUUGCUUCUUAUGCCCAUGUUUUCCGGCAUUUGAACUAGAAUCUCCUGUGAUUUCUAGUAAAAAUUUGUGUAACUUGCAUAAUGAGCUGAGAAUUGAGGUUUUUCUUGCAUUCUUCUCAUCGUUUUCUGUUCAUCAAACUUCGAAUUCAAAUUUAUAGAUGAUAUUUCUUUAUUGUGCUUAAUAAAUACAAAUGCAGAAGUGGAGGUGCCUGGAUCGUGAGGAAUUUUUCGUUAUUGAAAUGUUUCGUUAAAUUUUAGAUCAUGUUAUAGUCUUACUUUGAUUUUGAAUACAGGAUUUAACCUGAGAAUUAUUUUUCAGUGGAUGGAGUUUGAGAAAUGCAGAAUCAUCCUUAUGUGUUUUGUUAGUCUCAAGGUUAUUUGAUGAUAUUUCUUCCUAUUUGAGACUGUACAGCUAUUUCUGAUAGUUCUGUAACUCUUUUUCAGUAGUCUGGAGUAAUCUGCUUGAGACUUGUCUUAGGAAUUUCAGGUCCUUUUGUUUUUUGCGUCAUAUGCAGAAAACAUGCAUAAUUGUGUUGUGAAAUUGUUU
rnacentral:lncRNA from 1 species